CCUACGGGUGGCAGCAGUAGGGAAUCUUCCACAAUGGGCGAAAGCCUGAUGGAGCAACGCCGCGUGGGUGAAGAAGGUCUUCGGAUCGUAAAACCCUGUUGUUAGAGAAGAAAGUGCGUGAGAGUAACCGUUCACGUUUCGACGGUAUCUAACCAGAAAGCCACGGCUAACUACGUGCCAGCAGCCGCGGCAAUACGUAGGUGGCAAGCGUUAUCCGGAUUUAUUGGGCGUAAAGGGAACGCAGGCGGUCUGUUAAGUCUGAUGUGAAAGCCUUCGGCUUAACCGGAGUAGUGCAUUGGAGACUGGGAGUCUUGAGUACAGAAGAGGUAGGUGGAACUCGAUGUGUAGCGGUGAAAUGCGUAGAUAUAUGGAAGAACACCGAUGGCGAAGGCAGCUCUCUAAUCUGUAACUGACACUGAGGUUCGAAAGCGUGGGUAGCAAACAGGAUUAGAUACCCCUGUAGUC
rnacentral:rRNA from 1 species